GAUGAACGCUGGCGGCGUGCCUAAUACAUGCAAGUCGAGCGAACAGACGAGGAGCUUGCUCCUCUGACGUUAGCGGCGGACGGGUGAGUAACACGUGGAUAACCUACCUAUAAGACUGGAUAACUUCGGGAAACCGGAGCUAAUACCGGAUAAUAUAUUGAACCGCAUGGUUCAAUAGUGAAAGACGGUUUUGCUGUCACUUAUAGAUGAAUCCGCGCCGCAUUAGCUAGUUGGUAAGGUAACGGCUUACCAAGGCAACGAUGCGUAGCCGACCUGAGAGGGUGAUCGGCCACACUGGAACUGAGACACGGUCCAGACUCCUACGGGAGGCAGCAGUAGGGAAUCUUCCGCAAUGGGCGAAAGCCUGACGGAGCAACGCCGCGUGAGUGAUGAAGGUCUUCGGAUCGUAAAACUCUGUUAUUAGGGAAGAACAAAUGUGUAAGUAACUAUGCACGUCUUGACGGUACCUAAUCAGAAAGCCACGGCUAACUACGUG
rnacentral:rRNA from 1 species